CGCGUCUUCUCAGCUUCUGGCAGCAGUUACUAAAAUGAGCAUAACUCUUUAUUGGGAAGUCUAAAUAAUGAACCGUUUGAUGGGCUGCAACAUAGACUUAAAGAUGCUUUCAUCCAUCUGUAGAAUGCCACGUAACUCCUUGUAUUCUGUCCGUGGUGAUGCUUGGAAUUUGUACCAUGGGUCAGCCAUCUAGCUUCUGGUUGCCUUCUCAUGCAGAAGUAAUGAUCCACCAUUUUAUUUAUGCACACGAUAGGCUUCUUGGUUCAGAUGUCCAAAGGCUUGAAUCCAUCUUCAUCCCAUGCUGGUUCAUACCCUCCAUCAUUCCUAAGGACAUUGGAACAAGAACUCAAAAGUAUA
rnacentral:lncRNA from 1 species